GCUCCCCAGCCUCCCCUAUAUAUCUGUAGAAUAGAAAGCGCCGAGUUUGCGGAAGUCAGCGCGGAGUAAUGUUUGGGAAAUGAUGAUGUUGCUCUCCUGUCAUCAUCGCUGCAGCAGCUCGGCUUCCGUGUACGCGGGAGGGAGGUCUCCGGCUGCUUUACAUACAUAGCGCUCAGCGGGCGGUGUCUCUGUGUGCGGCACAUGACGCUUAUUACCAGCAGCGAACACUAAUGUUAUGCAAUGGCGUCAUCAGGGCUGUAGCUUCCUAUACUGAGGUGCAUACGGGGCGACUCAUGGUGCCCUCCUCAUCCUAACAUGUGGUUAUCACUGCUGCCUCACAGGGCUGGUGUCACAUAACCGCCCAACAACUACAUUCACAACAAAGGGUCAUUUCCAAUUCCAGCGCUGUAUAACCAAUUGCCAUAAUUACUGCACACAUCAUAGUCCACCUAGAAACACAGGAGAGACCCGUUUAUUGCCACAGAUUCAGGUUUCCCCAUGUAACUCAGCCCUCGCAUAGCAGGGAGCCACCCAACUACGGACUUUCCACUAACACGUGCCGCAGGCAACAAGAGCUACAGUAUAUAGGGGUUAUUUCCUUGUUUGUUUAAUUGUACAUACUGUACCAGCCUGCACCUUUCACUAAGUAUGUUACUUCAUCUUUCCAGCCAACUCUGUCUUCUGGCAGAAUGUUUUCAUUGUGUUGCAAAAUACAAAAAUAAACCUGCUCUCUGAAUACAAUGGCUUCCAAUGGAGAGAGUUAUACUGUAGCUCAUAGUUCUAUUAACAGUUAUUCCUGAUGCAAUGAAGCAAGGCUGAAAGUAUCAACGGGAAGAUGGAAACGCUACAUAGUAGUAAUAUGGUGGAUGGUGUGUAUAAAUAAACAGAUUUGUAUUAUCACACAGGAAACCCUAUUAAAAAAAAAAAUGUAACAACAAAA